rnacentral:rRNA from 1 species
UCAGGCCUAACACAUGCAAGUCGAACGAGAUUAUAGGGUAAGCUUGCUUACCUUAUAUGACAGUGGCGCACGGGUGCGUAACGCGUAUGCAAUCUACCUUAAUCAGGGGGAUAGCCUCUCGAAAGAGAGAUUAAUACCGCAUAACAUUAUGAUAUGGCAUCAUAUUAUAAUCAAACAUUUAUGGGAUUAAGAUGAGCAUGCGUGACAUUAGCUAGUUGGUGAGGUAACGGCUCACCAAGGCAACGAUGUCUAGGGGAUCUGAGAGGAUGACCCCCCACACUGGUACUGAGACACGGACCAGACUCCUACGGGAGGCAGCAGUAAGGAAUAUUGGUCAAUGGACGCAAGUCUGAACAAGCCAUGCCGCGUGCAGGAAGACGGCCCUAUGGGUUUAAGGUGCUUUUAUACGGGAAUAAACCUUCUUUCGGAAAGAAG